GACGAACGCUGGCGGCGUGCUUAACACAUGCAAGUCGAACGAUGAUCCCCGUGCUUGCACGGGGUGAUUAGUGGCGAACGGGUGAGUAACACGUGAGUAACCUGCCCCUCACUCUGGGAUAACCUCGGGAAAUCGUGGCUAAUACCGGAUAUGAGUACCUGCCGCAUGGUGGGUGCUGGAAAGUUUUUCGGUGAGGGAUGGGCUCGCGGCCUAUCAGUUUGUUGGUGAGGUGAUGGCUCACCAAGGCGAUGACGGGUAGCCGGCCUGAGAGGGCGACCGGCCACACUGGGACUGAGACACGGCCCAGACUCCUACGGGAGGCAGCAGUGGGGAAUAUUGCACAAUGGGCGAAAGCCUGAUGCAGCGACGCCGCGUGGGGGAUGACGGCCUUCGGGUUGUAAACCUCUUUCAGCAGGGAAGAAGCGAAAGUGACGGUACCUGCAGAAGAAGCGCCGGCUAACUACGUGCCAGCAGCCGCGGUAAAAC
rnacentral:rRNA from 1 species